AUGGACUAACACCAGGAUAAGAAGAAACGAUUCCACAGACCUACAGCAAGCAGACAAGAUUAGGAAUAAAUGUGAGUGGUGCAGCUUGUAAAAACGCUAUCUCACAGCACCGGAGACCCAGGUUUAAUGCUGAUACGCCUUCAAUUACUCCGAAAGACUGGAAGUAGGAUUCCGGGACUUCUCAUAUUAUCUCUUGUCACUCUCCUUUGGGCUCUCGCUCAAUAUUUGUCUCAGCUGACCACUGAUUGGCAAAGCCUACAACAUGAUGUUCUAUAUUUUAAUUUCACUCAAUAAAAGCAAUACAGGAAAGUCAAAACAAAUGUACCAAUAGGAAAUGUAGCAAGAAAUUCUUUAAUGGAGUUGAGAACAAAAUGUUGAGACAACUGAAUGGAAAUGAUUCAUCGAACAACAACUGAUGUUUACUUGCAUGAUUUAUACACCCAGUGAAUCCUUCA